UUCCUAAAAUCAUCUCAAACAGAAAGAGAAGAAAAAUUAAAACAUUUAAUGUUCAUUGUUCUGUUCUUACUGUCCCGGUUAAUGAAAGUGAAAUGAGAUCAAAAUAAUUAUUUAAACAUAGAAGGGAUGCAGAUUAUAUAUGAUAUGCUCUGGUCAAACAAGGGUUAAGUUUCUCAGAGGGUUGAUGAGCUCUGAUGAGAGCCUAUUGUUUUACUCCACUCCUCACAUGUCAGCCAAUCGGUGAAGCUCUAGGCAGCUCUUGUCCCUCCUUAGUACCAGCUCCCAAGUUUUCAGUCUCUUGCUUCUACAGCCGAACAGAGCAGACGGACUAAAACUUUUGUUAUCGAGCGAAACCGGAGGGUUUACUGAGCUGUGGCUCCAUGUAAAUGCUGAGCAUCCACUCGACGGCGGUCAGGUUUUUAUAUGGGACGAAUCCAAAGACCAGGUCAGCGAUUCCAGAACCCAGAGUGUUCCAGUGUUCACUGGAUGGCGAGCCAACCCAAGAUCCUAGGAGACGAUAUACAUGUACACGCACACUCAUUUGCACAUUGAUGGACUACAAUCCUCUACUGUACAAGUAGUACGGUAGGACAGACAAUCACACACACACUCCUUGUCAGACGAAUUCUAUGGGCCCCACCGGUACCAUUUGGACUU